GCGGUAUUGGUGAAGUGGUUAACACAUCGGUUUGUGGAUCCGACAUACGUGGGUUCGAUUCCCACAUACCGCC
rnacentral:tRNA from 4 species